rnacentral:rRNA from 1 species
GAGUUUGAUCUUGGCUCAGAUUGAACGCUGGCGGCAUGCCUUACACAUGCAAGUCGAGCGGAUGACGGGAGCUUGCUCCUUGAUUCAGCGGCGGACGGGUGAGUAAUGCCUAGGAAUCUGCCUGGUAGUGGGGGACAACGUUUCGAAAGGAACGCUAAUACCGCAUACGUCCUACGGGAGAAAGCAGGGGACCUUCGGGCCUUGCGCUAUCAGAUGAGCCUAGGUCGGAUUAGCUAGUUGGUGGGGUAAUGGCUCACCAAGGCGACGAUCCGUAACUGGUUUGAGAGGAUGAUCAGUCACACUGGAACUGAGACACGGUCCAGACUCCUACGGGAGGCAGCAGUGGGGAAUAUUGGACAAUGGGCGAAAGCCUGAUCCAGCCAUGCCGCGUGUGUGAAGAAGGUCCUCGGAUUGUAAAGCACUUUAAGUUGGGAGGAAGGGCAGUAAGUUAAUACCUUGCUGUUUUGACGUUACCGACAGAAUAAGCACCGGCUAACUCUGUGCCAGCCG